AAUAAAACGUCGAAGAGGAAAAGUAGUUUUAAGUGUUGGUAUCUACAGAGAGCCGUUGCCGCUGUGAAUACGGUGAUACCCCUUAUUACGAACUCACCUCUGAGUGUCAAUAUGAAAGGAAUUUAUAGUUUCCGAAUAGUAUUGGUCGAGUGAUACCGUCACUCGUUAUCAAAACUGAACGAUAAAAUCGUUCCUGAGGUGGUUAAUUGUAAAAUUAACCAUGAAAAAGGGUGGUACCGUGGAAAGAAAUCUUUUCACCCCUUAC
rnacentral:ncRNA from 1 species